GACGAAGGUGGCGAGCGUUGUUCGGAAUCACUGGGCUUAAAGAGCACGUAGGCGGACCGUCAAGCGUCUUGUGAAAUCCCUCGGCUCAACCGAGGAACGGCUUGGCGAACUGGCGGUCUUGAGGCAGGUAGGGGCGUGUGGAACUCUUGGUGGAGCGGUGGAAUGCGUAGAUAUCAAGAGGAAUGCCGGAGGCGAAGGCGACGCGCUGGGCCUGACCUGACGCUGAGGUGCGAAAGCCAGGGGAGCGAACGGGAUUAGAUACCCGUGUA
rnacentral:rRNA from 1 species